rnacentral:rRNA from 1 species
AUUGAACGCUGGCGGCGUGCUUAACACAUGCAAGUCGAACGAGUGGCGGACGGGUGAGUAAUGUCUGGGAAACUGCCUGAUGGAGGGGGAUAACUACUGGAAACGGUAGCUAAUACCGCAUACCAUCAGAUGUGCCCAGAUGGGAUUAGCUUGUUGGUGGGGUAACGGCUCACCUAGGCGACGAUCCCUAGCUGGUCUGAGAGGAUGACGAGGAAAAGUGGAACGGAGACACGGUCCAUACGCCUACGGGAGGCAGCAGUGGGGAAUAUGGGACAAUGGGCACAAGCCUGAAGCAGCCAUGCCGCUUGUAUGAAGAAGGCGUUCGGGUUGUAAAGUACGUUCAGCGGGGAGGCGUUACCCGCAGAAGAAGCACCGGCUAACUCGGUGCCAGCAGCCGCGGUAAUAC